GCUCGCGGCGCGUCCCUGGGACGCAGGGCUAGUCGGCUGGGCUGCCCCCCUCCCCGGGAGAAACAGGGGGACGCCCGGGCACAGUGCCUACCGGUCCGGGUGAUGGGGAUAACGGUGCCAGGUCGCGGCCGGGGAGGGACAGAUCACCCCUCGAACCGCUUCGCCGGAUGCCCCAGAGCCGACUUCUCCCGGCCUCGCGAACAGAGGAGCCGCAGCAGGUCGCCUUAGGCAAAAGGCAGAUCAGGGGAUCCAGAAAACUGGAUUCCUGGUUGCGGUGACAGCGUGAGGUACCCCGCAGAGACCUGGGAAUCCGGCCCUUCCCAACCGGUUACUACAGCCGAUGGGACCUCGUGCGCCGCAGAGAAGCACAGACCCCAGAGGCCGGCGGCAAAUUACCGUCCUGCUCCCAGCUGCAUGACCCAGAUCUCCCGUAUGCGGCCCGCCUUUGCAUCAGCUUAGUUUUAAUGUAUGCUCCCAGAAAGGAAGGAAGAGAAACCAGUUGAAUGUGGUUUCUAACUCACCUGGUUCCUAGUGCCUGGAGCCAUACUCCACCUAUAGUCUUUGCUCAAGAAAUAUUUGUGGACAAGUGCCAAGUGACUGUUAACAUGAGGGAAGUGAUUCAAGACAAAGACCCAUUCUGCCAGUGGGCUAUGCUGGGAAUACCAACUAUGCUUGUUACAGAAUGUGCACGGUGACUGCUGACCGGCCUUCCCUAUGCCAGCAAGAGGGUACAGAAGCAAUCUCCCAAGCAUUCCACGACCUUCAAGUGACCAGGCACUUUGACCCCCAUCAUUAGGGGCUGCCCCAAAGAAGCUGUGUUCCUACCUCACUUGGUGCCCCAAAUGGCAGUUCAGACACCAGAGGGUGUAUGACCCUUGUUGAAAUGGAUUUGUCGUAGAUUCAACCAGAGCAUCAGUUCACACUUUCCCACUAUCGUCGCUCCUUUUCACCAAGGGCUUCAGAGAAAAGACGUCAGUAAGUGCUGGGCUGAGGAUUAUUUUCUACUUAUAUUUGACCAAAGAAGAUGGGAAGCCCUCGGUGCUGAGGAUCAUUGUGAUACUGACCCCUUCAAAGAACAACCCAGCUCUUCCUCCUUUUACCACCAAACAUGGAUGCCGCCUCCCCCCUUUUUUUUUUUUUUUUUUUUUGCAGUACGUGGACCUCUCACUGUUGUGGUCUCUCCUAUUGCGGAGCACAGGCUCUGGACUCGCAGGCUCAGCGGCCAUGGCUCACAGGCCCAGCCGCUCCACGGCAUGUGGGAUCCUCCCGGACCGGGGCACGAACCCGUGUCCCCUGCAUCGGCAGGCGGACUCUCAACCACUGCGCCACCAGGGAAGCCCGCCUCCCUUUCUUUUAUACUCUCUCUGCCCUCGCUUCUUACCUGCGUCACUGUGUCUCCUCCCUCUCUCUCUUCCUCCACCCCACCCGCCCCCUGUCUCUCUCAAAGGUUACCAAAAACUUCCAAUGCCAACCCCAGUGGUUUUUCAUCAUUCUUUAUCACCCUUGAUCUCUUGGCAGCAUAUAACUCUGGUGUUUUGCCCAUUUUUGAAAUUCCUUUGCCUGUUUUCUCUCUUCUCCAAUUCCUUAGCCAGCCUUUAUCUUUCCCUCAUCAAAUCCUCUGCCUCCCACAUGUGGGUGCUGUAUUAUUGUCUGCCCUCAGCUCUCUCCUCUCCUUCACACACUCCCUCCCAGUGGAGUGACCAUUGAUUGGUUUGUGGCCACCCAGCAUCUAUUCUCUGUCUUUUGAUUGCCAGGUCUGUUUUCCUUUGGAGAAUCACUUCUGCUUUAUGUCACCCUGUUGGGAAUGGAUGACAAGGUGUCUUUACUUCUUCUAGCCAAGGGAUGGGCAUAUGACCAAGCUCACUGGAUUCCCUCCCAGGACUUUGAAUACUUGAAGGGAAUGGGGAAAGUUGCUGGAGCUGACUCAUCCUAGCUUGAUAAGAUUGUUUAUGAAUUCUUCCCAUCUGGAUCCCCAGAACCACCCUGCCUCUUCUGAGUAGAAGUCCACGCUGGACUCUUUUCUAGCCAGAUUUGGUUUCUGUUGCUUGUAAUCAAGAAUCUUUAACAGAUACAUCCUAGAUGCAUGUAACUCUGCUUAGUUCUGGAUGAGUUCCAAGGCUGUAUUUACAGAUGACCUUGACCCCUGUUCAAGUUCCUACUCACAUAUCUCCAAAUGCUUGGCAGAUACUUCUACGUAAUAUCCCACUGUCAGGGACUUCCCUCGUGGUCCACUGGGUAAGACUCCAUGCUCCCAAUGCAGGGGGCCCGGGUUCGAUCCCUGGUCAGGGAACUAGAUCCCGCAUGCAUGCCACAACUAAGACGUCAGCAUGCAGCAACUAAAAGAACCUGUGUGCGCAACGAAGAUCCCGCGCGAUAAAACUAAGACCCAGCGCAGCCCAAAUAAACAAAUAAAUGAACGAAUAAAUAAAUAAAUAUUCCACCAUCACCUCCUACCUAACAAGUCUAAAGCAAUUUAUUAUCUCCUUCCUGAAGCAGUUCUUCCUCCUGAACUCCAUAAGGAUUUUAGAGGGAUGAGUGCCGCCUCAGUCACUGAAACCAGAAGGAUGGGAAUGAGUUCUGACGACUCCUCUUCCCUUUAUCCUAUAUCCAGCCAUUGCCUGGUGCUAUUAAUAGUUCCUUGCCUAAGUCCCUCUUAUUCAUCCCUUUCCUAUUUUUUUUUUUCAGAUUAGUUCAGACCCUUAUCACUUCAUCCCUGGACCACUGCAGUAUACCCUAACCAUUCUUUCAGCUUCCAGAUUCUAUCCACCACUGCCAGCUUAAUCUUUCUAAGGCACUGCUUCAGUUAUGCCACUCCAACGCUUAAAAUAAUGUCAUGUUUAUCAUUAAUGUCUGAAUUCAUUGGCUUAGGCAGUCUUUUGUAGAGGUUGGGGUCACAGGUUCUGGAGUUAGAUUGCCUGUAUUCAAGUACCAGCCUCAUCACUACAUAAUUUUUUUUCAAUUAACUAAACCUCUGAGCCUCAGUUUCCUUAUCAGUAAAAUGGGGGAUACUAGUCGUAUAACCUACAUAUAGAGUUAUGUAACAAUCUGUGAAAAGGGUUUAGCUGAAUGUAAAUAGUAGGUGCUCGAUAAAAAAUUAUUACAGUGAAAGCUCUCCACAGUCUAACUCUAACCUACCUUGCUAGCCUUGUCCUCUCAUUUUCUCUAAUAUGUUCAUAAAGGCUUUACCAACCAGAAUUACUCAUCAACAUUUCUAUUGUAUUUUUCUACUAUUGUGCCAUUGUUUAAACCAUUCUGCCCCAAAUACCCCUUCUUUCACUCCACCUGUAUCAAUAUCUAGUCUUGUAUUAUAAACUAUCCCAAUUUUAAUGGCUUAAAGUACCUAUUUUAUUUGUUCAUGAUUUUAUGGGUUGGCUGGGCAGGGUUCAGCUGGGAUGGUUCAUCUCUGAUUCACCCAAUGUUGUCUGACCUGCACAGCUGCAGGAUUCAAGAUGGCUCCACUCCCAUGUGUGAACCCUGAGCAGGCGUGGCUGGAACUCUGUUUUCUCUUUGAUCCAGUUUUUUCAUCUUUAUGGGCCUUUU